CCUACGGGAGGCAGCAGUGGGGAAUUUUCCGCAAUGGGCGAAAGCCUGACGGAGCAACGCCGCGUGAGGGAUGAAGGCCUCUGGGCUGUAAACCUCUUUUAUCAAGGAAGAAAAUCUGACGGUACUUGAUGAAUAAGCCACAGCUAAUUCCGUGCCAGCAGCCGCGGUAAUACGGGAGUGGCAAGCGGUAUCCGGAAUUAUUGGGCGUAAAGCGUCCGCAGGCGGCCCUUCAAGUCUGCUGUUAAAAAGUGGAGCUUAACUCCAUCAUGGCAGUGGAAACUGUUGGGCUUGAGUGUGGUAGGGGCAGAGGGAAUUCCCGGUGUAGCGGUGAAAUGCGUAGAUAUCGGGAAGAACACCAGUGGCGAAGGCGCUCUGCUGGGCCAUCACUGACGCUCAUGGACGAAAGCCAGGGGAGCGAAAGGGAUUAGAUACCCCUGUAGUCCUGGCCGUAAAUGAUGAACACUAGGUGUCGGGGGAAUCGACCCCCUCGGUGUCGUA
rnacentral:rRNA from 1 species